UUUAACCUCUUCAGGUAUGCUAUCAUUCAAAGCAAUGUCCUCAAGAUCUUUAGCUACCUGCAUCCAAGAUGAACCAAGGCCCAAAUCAUUGCACUUCAAAAAACAAUGUUUAUAGAAGGCGAGAGUCCAAGUCAAUCAUUUUGUAUCCUUUAUCUGCUUCUCCAAAUUGCUGAAUGCACCCUCCUCUUUAUUUGGGUCACCCUAAUUCCUCAGUUCAUCUUUCUCAAAAUGUAUCAUCAAACAUAGAAUGUUUGGAUUCAUUACAGUUACAUUUACAGGUGUCCGACUCCAAUUGCAGAUGUAUCAAUUCAUGGUCUUCCUUUGAGCCCCUCCAUCUCACCAAAGUACAUUAUGUCUGAGACUCUGCAGCCCAACACCCUAGAAUUAUAGAACUAUAUUGUUUAAUACAUGGACAAAAAAGAUAC